UUGCCUUCUUUCUCUGCUUUCUUUCUGCCUUCCUCCUGCCAGAAGAUUGGAGACAAUAUUCUUUUCUGAUCAGCUCAGUGAUACAAUGCCCUUCAGUAUCCUUAUGAGCAUUUCAGGGAAGAAGAGAAGGAACUUUGCUACCUGGAAACUGAAGACUACUUAGUGGUGAGCCUGGUGUCCCAUGUCCAGUUGUUCUCAUCUUUCUGACGAUGGCCAUUGUGGGAGCACUUCACUGCUGAAGAAGACCUGAGAUCCAGGGUGUCUCCAGGAUGAAAUACAACCACUUUCCCGAACGAGGAGGGAAGGUAACAAAGAGCCCGGCGACGCAGGCCCUGGGUGGAGGCCGGCCGCGGCGGACGGAGGGCACGGACCUCGAGGGGCACGCGGGAGGCGCCCGAGGCGGCUGGCACAGAAACUUCACAAGACGCGAGACGCGAGAUUGACAGCGAGGGCUCAGUUGCGCAAGAAGAUUGGAAAUUUGUCUUUGGAAAAGAUCGAGAUGAGCUGGUAAACUUGGCGUCUUCCUCUUGCUCCCCAGGUGGCUGAGUCCUUCAUCUGCUUCUUGUCUGCUGGAUUCAAAAGAGUGAUUGAAGAUACAGGCCUAGCAAGAUGGAAGCAGGGUUAGAAAUGGGAUUUGUAAGAAGUUACCUUUUUCAGGUCUGUCCUUUUUGUCAUUUAUCGAGCCUCAGCUCGUGGCCCAGGAUUCUUGAGGUAUGAGUAAAUGUCCGUUUGUCAAGGCAAAAGAGAUUGUUAUUUUGCGAGCCAUAAUCAUAGCUAACAAAAGUU